rnacentral:rRNA from 1 species
CCUACGGGUGGCAGCAGUGGGGAAUAUUGGGCAAUGGGCGAAAGCCUGACCCAGCAACGCCGCGUGAAGGAAGAAGGCUUUCGGGUUGUAAACUUCUUUUGACAGGGAAGAGCAGAAGACGGUACCUGUUUAGAAAGCUCCGGCUAACUACGUGCCAGCAGCCGCGGUAAUACGUAGGGAGCAAGCGUUGUCCGGAAUUACUGGGCGUAAAGGGCGCGUAGGUGGGCGCUUAAGUCAGGUGUGAAAACUCCGGGCUCAACCUGGAGACUGCACUUGAAACUGGGUGUCUUGAGGGCAGGAGAGGAAAGUGGAAUUCCUAGUGUAGCGGUGAAAUGCGUAGAUAUUAGGAGGAACACCAGUGGCGAAGGCGACUUUCUGGACUGUACCUGACGCUGAGGCGCGAAAGCGUGGGUAGCGAACGGGAUUAGAUACCCCAGUAGUC